rnacentral:rRNA from 1 species
UACGUAGGGGGCAAGCGUUGUCCGGAUUUAUUGGGCGUAAAGAGCGUGUAGGCGGCUUUGCAAGUCCGUUGUGAAAACUCGAGGCUCAACCUCGAGACGCCGGUGGAAACUGCAAAGCUAGAGUCCGGAAGAGGAGAGUGGGAUUCCUGGUGUAGCGGUGAAAUGCGCAGAUAUCAGGAGGAACACCCGUGGCGAAAGCGGCUCUCUGGGACGGUACUGACGCUGAGACGCGAAAGCGUGGGGAGCAAACAGG